ACGGGUGCGGAACACGUACGCAACUUUCCCAAAACUGGUGAAUAGCCCUCCGAAAGGAGGAUUAAUACACCGUAACAUAAUGGAGUGGCAUCACUCUAUUAUUAUAGCUCCGGCGGUUUUGGAUGGGCGUGCGCCUGAUUAGGCAGUUGGCGGGGUAACGGCCCACCAAGCCUACGAUCAGUAACUGGUGUGAGAGCACGACCAGUCACACGGGCACUGAGACACGGGCCCGACUCCUACGGGAGGCAGCAGUAAGGAAUAUUGGUCAAUGGACGCAAGUCUGAACCAGCCAUGCCGCGUGGAGGAUGAAUGCCCUCUGGGUUGUAAACUCCUUUUAUUUGGGAAGAAAUGUAGGAAUUCUUUCUUACUUGACGGUACCAAGUGAAUAAGCACCGGCUAACUCCGUGCCAGCAGCUGCGGUAAUACGGAGGGUGCAAGCGUUAUCCGGAUUCACUGGGUUUAAAGGGUGCGUAGGUGGGCAGGUAAGUCAGUGGUGAAAUCUUCGAGCUUAACUCGGAAACUGCCGUUGAUACUAUCUGUCUUGAAUGUUGUGGAGGUGAGCGGAAUAUGUCAUGUAGCG
rnacentral:rRNA from 1 species